rnacentral:rRNA from 1 species
AGAGUUUGAUCCUGGCUCAGGAUGAACGCUGGCGGUAUGCUUAACACAUGCAAGUCGAACGGGCUCUUCGGAGCUAGUGGCGGACGGGUGAGUAACGCGUGAGAAUCUGGCUUCAGGUUCGGGACAACAGUUGGAAACGGCUGCUAAUACCGGAUGUGCCUUAUGGUGAAAGAUUUAUCACCUGAAGAUGAGCUCGCGUCUGAUUAGCUAGUAGGUGUGGUAAGAGCGCACCUAGGCGACGAUCAGUAGCUGGUCUGAGAGGAUGAUCAGCCACACUGGGACUGAGACACGGCCCAGACUCCUACGGGAGGCAGCAGUGGGGAAUUUUCCGCAAUGGGCGAAAGCCUGACGGAGCAAUACCGCGUGAGGGAGGAAGGCUCUUGGGUUGUAAACCUCUUUUCUCAGGGAAGAAUGAUGACGGUACCUGAGGAAUAAGCAUCGGCUAACUCCGUGCCAGCAGCCGCGGUAAUACGGAGGAUGCAAGCGUUAUCCGGAAUGAUUGGGCGUAAAGCGUCCGCAGGUGGCAAUGUAAGUCUGCUGUCAAAGCGUCUGGCUCAACCAGAUAAAGGCAGUGGAAACUACAUAGCUAGAGUAAGGUAGGGGUAGAGGGAAUUCCUGGUGUAGCGGUGAAAUGCGUAGAGAUCAGGAAGAACACCGGUGGCGAAAGCGCUCUGCUGGACCUUAACUGACACUGAGGGACGAAAGCUAGGGGAGCGAAUGGGAUUAGAUACCCCAGUAGUCC